CAGCAACACUGGGCUCAGUUAGCAGCGUUAGCAGCAGUACGCACAGCGAGUAGUAUCUACCAUGGCCGACUUUGCCUAUAUAAUGUCAAAGAUGACCGAAAUCUCGAAGGAGGAGCUGCGCAAGGAGGUCGCCGCCAUCCUCAAGGAUGCUGACCUGAGGACGAUGACUGCUAAGAAAGUGAGGCAACAGAUCGAAAAGAAACUCUAUGUUGACCUCGCAGAAAGGAAAAAGGAGGUGGAUGAUUUAGUCAUGGAAUGCGUCCAAGAGAAACACGGUGGAGGAAAGAAAAAGAAGAAGGCCGCUCGUGAAGAGUCCGAGGACGGCGAAGAGGAAGAGGAAGAAGGAUCUGAAGAAGAGGAGGAGGAGAAAAAGCCAGGUCAGCAAAAUCCUGCUAAAAAAACUCCUAACAAGCGUAAGAAGGGAUCCUCCGAUGAUGAGGAAAGCGCUAGCGAUGAUGAUGCUAGCGACGAGGAAUACAGUCCAAAGAAACCUAAAGUUACAUCUAAAAAAACUAAGCCCGGAAAGAAAGGAAAGAAGAAGGGAAGCGAUAGUGAUAGCGACGAGGACUGGGGUAAAAACAAAAAGGCUCCGAGUAGUACAGCAAAGAAGGGAGGUGGUAGCAAAGGCAAGGGAGGGGGUUACACGCGUGUGACGCGUGUUAUCACGUUGUCUCCGGAGCUCGCCGCGGUUGUUGGCGCAGAACAAAUGACUCGACCUCAAGUCGUGAAGAAAGUAUGGCGUAUCAUCAAAGAGAGGAAUCUUUAUGACCCUGAGAAUAGACAGUUUGCGAUUUGUGAUGAGGAAUUAAUGAAGGUAAUCGGCGUAAAGCGUUUCAGAACUUUUGGUAUGAUGAAAUACCUCAAAAAUCACUUUGUAGAUUAAAUCAUUCUUCAAUCCCGAUCUCCGACAAGUUAUAUAUAUAUACAACAUAUUCCAGGGUGCGCCUCGUGCACCUCUUCAUCUUUCUCACACGAUACAUACAUAUACAUGAAACACAAAAGGUAUUUCUUGCGACUUAAGACUUUAGACCAUGUUUACACCAUUCCGACGUACUCUGCCGCUCAUUGUAACCAUUUAAGUUAAUGUCAGGCUAUGCACAAUUUGCGAUUUUUAAAUUUGCCAUUUGCCAGUCACGUGAGAUCAAUUAGCGAUGCAGAUGGGAGGAUUCACCAAGUGCAUGUAUAUUGUUUACCGUUCACGUCAAUUUAGCAACGGAACCAUUUCCCUACGAAGUCAAAGGGCGCAAAUCACUGCGAAUCAAUGAAUUCGUAGGUUUAUGUGUAGAGCUACACUAUAUGGCAAACCACAGAUCGUUGAAUUCACAAGCAGUAUGGAUGGUUUAUACUGGCGAAUGAUAAAUUUCUGCGAAUACUACAAAUUGUACGUAAUCUGGCGCUAGUUUUACAGUAUUUUUGUAUUAUUCCUCUACCUUUUUUAUAUUGAAAAUAUUUCUUCCGGAACAUGGAUGUAACAGAAUGAUUGACUUCUCUCUUUGUUUUUUCUUUUUUUUCUUUUGAACGUCCGCAUAUUGUUCCUUUCGCCUUGGAGGCGAAGUCAAUCACUCGGAAAAUUAAUAUUCUGUACCUUUUCUGUAUAAUAGAUACACAUGCAAAUGUAAGCAAAGUUUAAUUGUAUUAUCAUGUAAUUACUAAUUAUUGUCGUAAUAUAGGUUUCUUGGUGUAAAAAUUGAAUCUAACGUUUAAGAUCUAAUGGUAAAACAAUAUAUUCAUUGAAAGGUAUCUAUAAGCAUAUUAAAUGAUUAAAGUCACAGUGCAGCGACCACUGGCUGUUGAAGUGUAGGAAAUAAAAUAAUAGGCUCACGAAGCGAGGUGCGGAGUCUUAACCGCAUACAUCUGGCCGAGCUUCGACAUAUGUAAAAUUCGUGUAUUUUGAAUAUAAAUUAAAGAAAUGCUGGCCUAAGUCAUGAGAAAAGCCACACGAAUGAGAUCAUUGCAGUUUACGAAAGCAUUGCAUACCUACAUGGGGGAAAAAAAAUGCGUACGGAGUGAUAAAUUAGGAUACGAACUGAUUUCUCUGAAAAGGAAAAAGAACUAUUUAAACUGUAAUGUUCCGUGAAAUGUAUUUCGAAAUGUCAUUAAAAAGUAUUGCUUUCAUUUUUUUUU